rnacentral:rRNA from 1 species
GAUGAACGCUAGCGGGAGGCCUAACACAUGCAAGCCGAGCGGUAGAGAUUCUUCGGAAUCUUGAGAGCGGCGUACGGUGCGGAACACGUGUGCAACCUACCUUUAUCUGGAGGAUAGCCUUUCGAAAGGAAGAUUUAAAUACUCCAUAAUAUAUUGAUUGGCAUCAAUUGAUAUUGAAAGCUCCGGCGGAUAGAGAUGGGCACGCGCAAGAUUAGUUAGUUGGUGAGGUAACGGCUCACCAAGACGAUGAUCUUUAGGGGCCUGAGAGGGUGAU